GUGGGGAAUAUUGGUCAAUGGACGAGAGUCUGAACCAGCCAAGUAGCGUGCAGGAUGACGGCCCUAUGGGUUGUAAACUGCUUUUAUAUAGGGAUAAAGUCGGGGACGUGUCCCCGUUUGUAGGUACUAUAUGAAUAAGGACCGGCUAAUUCCGUGCCAGCAGCCGCGGUAAUACGGAAGGUCCGGGCGUUAUCCGGAUUUAUUGGGUUUAAAGGGAGCGCAGGCUGAUGAUUAAGCGUGACGUGAAAUGUAGCCGCUCAACGGCUGAACUGCGUCGCGAACUGGUUAUCUUGAGUGAGUUCGAUGUUGGCGGAAUUCGUGGUGUAGCGGUGAAAUGCUUAGAUAUCACGAAGAACUCCGAUUGCGAAGGCAGCCAACAAGGCCUUUACUGACGCUAAAGCUCGAAGGUGCGGGUAUCGAACAGG
rnacentral:rRNA from 1 species